AUUUAAUACAUUGAAAGAAAGUUUUAGAAGUGUGAUUGGUUCCUUACAACCAUUUUGGAAAAAGGUUCGUAUUCUUUUUCUAGCUGAAUCUAAUUCCAAAAAAAAAUUACAAAAACUGUACGAUGAACGGCGAUUAUAACAAAAAAGUAGUAAAUUUACGUACGAAAAAUGCCGAUUUAAAGAAAAAGAGUUCUGUGAAAAAAUAAAAAAACUUUAUAUAUGAUAUCGCAGCACCUAUUGCUCUUGAAGCAAUGAAAAUCCUAAACGAUAAAGAUUUCAUGAUUCAACAAAUACAGAAAGGCCGACCAGGAAAGACGGCAGGUAUUAAUAAAAAAUUAUCAGAAAGAGAAAAUGCGCAAGCUAGAACUAUUGGUGAAAGUUGGUAAACGUAAACCGAAAUAUAUGGAAAGUAUUUGUUUAAGGAAAUAACAUAUAGGAAUAAAUGAUUAAUAUGUAUUUAUUUGUUUUUAACAAUCAUGCAUGAAAAUAUAUUUUUCGAGUAGUAGCGAGAGAUUUUAGACUCAGUAUUGUGCACAGGUAUAAUGAUGAAGAUAUUGUAGAAUAUUUAUCGUCCCCACAAGCAACAAUGGAAGAAAACAUUUCAAUGAGAAAACCAGAUAGUCAUUUAGGAGUAAAAACAGAUUUCAUUGAUGAUAUGAUGAUUAAUGAUUCCUUGCUUGGGUAACUAUUAAAUUUCUACAAGAGAUGCGAUUCAUAAGGGCAACAGUAGCUGCAUUAGGCCGUUUAAAAGAUAUUGUUCUCAAACGUACAACUGUUCACCUGAUGAGAAAAGAAAACCGAUGAAGAAAAACGCAUGAUAUUUUAAAGAAUUUCGAUGUAUAUUAGUUAAAGUUUGCAGUUUUUAAGUUGCAUUAGUGUAUCCGAUUGCAGAUCCCUCUAACUUUUUUAUUUCAUUGGUAUGGAAAACUUCUACCAGAAAUGAAGGGUAAAAGAAAGGUUGAACGACUUGCUCUUGUUGUUAAAGGAGAAAAUACCGAAAAAAUAUUUGGUAUUCCGAAACUAGAUAAUAGCACUGUAUUCACAAUAGUGCCGCGUUUUUGCUCAAGCAUCAUAUCAGAGAAAUAUUUUUAAAAGCUGUUUUUGAAUAGAAUGCUGGUAGCUCAUCGGCUCCAGAAAUUUAAAUUUUUGAACGUUUUGCUCGGAAAUGGAGAGAUGACGAUACUAAGAACUUUAAAAGUGGAGCUUAAGAUGAAACCUUGAAAAACGUGAGAUGAUCCAAAUUUCAAACAGUUUCGAAUUCCUGGGGCAAUUUCACAUGCAAUUUUUGCUUUGGUUGGAAAUUUGUUCCGAUUUUUUUAAAAUACGAUCCAUCAUCAUGGGGUGAAAGAGGUGAUUAUUCUUCUGGGCUGCAAAUUUGUGAAAACCUGACAGUUGGAAUGAUCCAGCACAAAAAGCGCUCACAAGUUAGUCACUGAUUUUAAUGGAGUUUAACAAACAAAUUGUUGAAUAUUAUCGACACAUGUAUCUAUUUCAUACUAAAUCGUCACUACU